ensembl:miRNA aca-mir-5436 aca-mir-5436
UUGCUGGCCUCAAGCAGCUCGCUGGCAGAGACUUUCUGGUGAAGUCAGACAGCAAGUCUUUGCCAGGGAGCUGCUUGUGGUCAGUGA